UAGGGUUUGAUUAUGGCUCAGAUUGAACGCUGGCGGUAUGCUUAACACAUGCAAGUCGAACGGAAACGAAACUAGCUUGCUAGUUGGCGUCGAGUGGCGGACGGGUGAGUAACGCGUAGGAAUCUACCUAGUAGUGGGGGAUAGCCCGAAGAAAUUCGGAUUAAUACCGCAUAAUCUAUUCGUAGUAAAGUGGGGGACUUUCGAGCCUCACGCUAUUAGAUGAGCCUGCGUAAGAUUAGCUUGUUGGUAGGGUAAAAGCCUACCAAGGCUACGAUCUUUAGCUGGUCUGAGAGGAUGAUCAGCCACAUCGGGACUGAGACACGGCCCGAACUCCUACGGGAGGCAGCAGUGGGGAAUAUUGGACAAUGGGGGCAACCCUGAUCCAGCAAUACCGCGUGUGUGAAGAAGGCCUGAGGGUUGUAAAGCACUUUCAAUUGUGAAGAAAAGUUAGCGGUUAAUAACCGUUAGCCUGACGUAA
rnacentral:rRNA from 1 species